rnacentral:rRNA from 1 species
GUAGGUGGCAAGCGUUGUCCGGAAUUAUUGGGCGUAAAGCGCGCGCAGGCGGUCCUUUAAGUCUGAUGUGAAAGCCCACGGCUCAACCGUGGAGGGUCAUUGGAAACUGGGGGACUUGAGUACAGAAGAGGAAAGCGGAAUUCCAAGUGUAGCGGUGAAAUGCGUUGAGAUUUGGAGGAACACCAGUGGCGAAGGCGGCUUUCUGGUCUGUAACUGACGCUGAGGCGCGAAAGCGUGGGGAGCAAACAGGAUUAGAUACCCUGGUAGUCCACGCCGUAAACGAUGAGUGCUAAGUGUUAGGGGGUUUCCCGCCCCCUUAGUGCUGCAGCUAACGCAUUAAGCACUCCGCCUGGGGAGUACGGCCGCAAGGCUG